GCGCGGACGACACGGCGCAGCACGACACUGACAGCGACAUACGACGCGGUGGCAGCAGCAGGGGGAACAGGGGGAACAACGCCAACCGGUGCGAGAGUAGCCAGACAGCAGGAAAGGACAGCACUACUUCGGAAGCAUCGGCGAGAAAUCUUCCAUAUCCUGCAGCUCCAAGUCACACAGCGGACUGUUUUAUUCUAAACAACGCUCCAGAGGUCAUACGGCGCUAUUAAUAGACAGCGCUACGGCACACGGAUAGCACUGUCGAUACAUCCUGGCAGCAGUCAGUUCUGGCAGGAGGCGGUACUGUUAUCACGUUUGGUGCCAAGACGCGAGCAGUGCUGUUCCACGCGCCGAGCAGGAUACACCGGAAGCUCUUCUGUUAACGUGAUGGGCGGGCCUUCCACGGAGGCGGACGAGGCACGCGCCGCUUGUCAAGUCCCGCUGACCGGGCAGGCCGACCCGGAGGAGGUCGUCUGCACCACAGGCUGUAUCAACAAAAGAACCAUUGUCAAGAGUAGAAACCUGCUCAGCUAUUGGAUCCUGGGAUUUUGCAACAACUUCACGUACUGGGUGUUGAUCACGGCCGCCGUUGACAUCCUGGCGCGGACCGGCG